AAACCCACCUACUCUAAUUAAACCCAAACCCACCCAAUUAUUAGUUUGGUUAAAUGGACAUUAGACCCAAUAAUUAUUGGGUUUUAACUAAAAACCCAUUCAACCCAAAAUCAAUACAACCCAAAUUCAACCCAGCCCUUCCCAAAAAAAAAAACCCAGCCCUUAGGUUUCAUGAGGGUUUUCAUUUUCCCUCAUUUUCUCGGCUUCCAAUCACAUCAAAACUCUUCAAAGCUUCAGCAGAUUUCUGAGUUGUUUGCCGGAAUAUUCACGCUAUCUCUUUCUGGUCACUCCAGCUCUCAUUGGUGGAUAUGUUGUGGUGAAUGAAAAGCUGCCUAAUUAUGUAGUCCCAUAUUUGACUGACUUCAAGAUAUGGAUUCAAUGAAUGAAGAAAAUGAUGAGUAUUAGGUGAAAGGAAGCUAUUUUAAGCUCGUAUCUGCUACAUACAAGAAAAAAGAGGUUAACAUCUGGGAUCCUAAGGCUACAAAUUUUUUUGGGUUCAAAGAAGACUUUCUUGGGGAUACAUUUAAAAAUGUAUAACCUGCAUUAAUCAUUGAGUGCAGUCUUUUUUAUUUUGAUCGGGUUAGCGAUGGCUCAUCCUUAUAAACAUGUAAAUCAGAAUCUGGAAAGCAUUUUAAAAUCCUUUGCUACUCUUCAGUUUCUUUGCAUUUUCCAACUUACAUUACUACAAUUACAAAUAACAAUUUUUUCAUAGUUGUAGUAGUAGUAGUUGUAGAUUUGUGUCUUUUGUAAUUCGUAUUAUGUUGAUGUAGGAUGGUAACACAUUUUGUUGCACAAGACUUUCGUGUUGUAUGGAUAGUGAUAUCUCUAUAAAGAAUGCAUGGUCAUACUUCAAAAAGAUUUUGGUAGUAUUUUGAGAAA